rnacentral:rRNA from 1 species
CGCCCUUGGGGGGCGUGCUAAUACAUGCAAGUCGAGCGGACAGAUGGGAGCUUGCUCCCUGAUGUUAGCGGCGGACGGGUGAGUAACACGUGGGUAACCUGCCUGUAAGACUGGGAUAACUCCGGGAAACCGGGGCUAAUACCGGAUGGUUGUCUGAACCGCAUGGUUCAGACAUAAAAGGUGGCUUCGGCUACCACUUACAGAUGGACCCGCGGCGCAUUAGCUAGUUGGUGAGGUAACGGCUCACCAAGGCGACGAUGCGUAGCCGACCUGAGAGGGUGAUCGGCCACACUGGGACUGAGACACGGCCCAGACUCCUACGGGAGGCAGCAGUAGGGAAUCUUCCGCAAUGGACGAAAGUCUGACGGAGCAACGCCGCGUGAGUGAUGAAGGUUUUCGGAUCGUAAAGCUCUGUUGUUAGGGAAGAACAAGUGCCGUUCAAAUAGGGCGGCACCUUGACGGUACCUAACCAGAAAGCCACGGCUAACUACGUGCCAGCAGCCGCGGUAAUACGUAGGUGGCAAGCGUUGUCCGGAAUUAUUGGGCGUAAAGGGCUCGCAGGCGGUUUCUUAAGUCUGAUGUGAAAGCCCCCGGCUCAACCGGGGAGGGUCAUUGGAAACUGGGGAACUUGAGUGCAGAAGAGGAGAGUGGAAUUCCACGUGUAGCGGUGAAAUGCGUAGAGAUGUGGAGGAACACCAGUGGCGAAGGCGACUCUCUGGUCUGUAACUGACGCUGAGGAGCGAAAGCGUGGGGAGCGAACAGGAUUAGAUACCCUGGUAGUCCACGCCGUAAACGAUGAG